UACGUAGGGGGCAAGCGUUGUCCGGAAUCAUUGGGCGUAAAGCGCGUGUAGGCGGUUCAGUAAGUCUGCUGUGAAAGUCCAGGGCUCAACCCUGGGAUGCCGGUGGAUACUGCUGGGCUAGAGUACGGAAGAGGCGAGUGGAAUUCCCGGUGUAGUGGUGGAAUGCGUAGAUAUCGGGAGGAACACCAGUGGCGAAGGCGGUUGCCUGGAGCUUUGCUGACGCUGAGGCGCGAAAGCGUGGGGAGCGAUCCGG
rnacentral:rRNA from 1 species